UGAUGUCAGCACCCAGCACCA
rnacentral:miRNA from 1 species